GCGCGGGUGGCGAAACUGGCAGACGCACUACCUUGAGGUGGUAGCGCCGUAAGGCGUGGAGGUUCGAAUCCUCUCCCGCGCA
rnacentral:tRNA from 1 species